CUGGCGGCGCGCCUAACACAUGCAAGUCGAACGAGAACGGAUUCAGCAAUGGGUCCUAGUAAAGUGGCGAACGGGUGAGUAACACGUGGGUAAUCUACCUUCUAAUGGGGGAUAACCCGGGGAAACCUGGGCUAAUACCGCAUAAUAUCCGCAAGGAUCAAAGGAGCAAUUCGUUAGAAGAUGAGCCCGCGGCCGAUUAGCUAGUUGGCGGGGUAAUGGCCCACCAAGGCUUUGAUCGGUAGCCGGUCUGAGAGGACGCACGGCCACACUGGAACUGAAACACGGUCCAGACUCCUACGGGAGGCAGCAGUGGGGAAUCUUGCACAAUGGGGGAAACCCUGAUGCAGCGACGCCGCGUGAGUGAUGAAGCUCUUCGGAGUGUAAAGCUCUUUCGGCAGGGAAGAAUUAAGACGGUACCUGCAAAAGAAGCCCCGGCUAACUACGUGCCAGCAGCCGCGGUAAUACGUAGGGGGCCAGCGUUGUUCGGAAUUACUGGGCGUAAAGAGAGCGUANGUGGUGUGGUGUGUCUGGUGUGAAAUC
rnacentral:rRNA from 1 species